CACACAUCUCACGGUCUCACCACACCAAACCAAACCCAACCCUGAACCAUUAAUGGUGCCCCUCUCUCUCUCUCUCUCUCUCUCCCUCACCGCCGCUCCUCUCCCCUCCACUCUCACCGGCGCUCCUCCUUACGUUGGCCGGCAACCGGAACACCGAUUCACCUCCUUGUUGGUCACCGUCGCCUGAGAUCCUCUCUCUCCCUCUCGACUCUGUUUUUCUGUCUCACAAAAACCCAUGCAGCUUCACAUACACGCACACACAUGGGUUCUUCAAAUAGGUAACAAGGGGUGCCCUAAAGCUUCCAGCAGCAAGAUUUACCAGAUCAUUUCCCAUGAAUGAAAUGUUACAGUGAGGGACUUUACGUCACUCAAUCUGAUUCAUUGUAGGCUUGCAGUAUGCCAUGGUUAGGUUUAGUUUCUUCUUUAUUAAUGGGUUUCUAAUAAUUUUCAUUGCAGAGAGACAGAGUCGUGUUGCCAUUGUUGUUAAGGCUACAGGUGAAAGCUCUGAAUCUUCGACUUCUCUGAGUGUUGUUAAAUCCGUACAAAAUGUUAAUCCAGGAGUUCCCCCUGUUGCAGCCUCAAAGCUUUCACCGCUUCCUCCUGUACCUGUUGACUAUGAUCGUGGUCCUACAGUUAAUAUCCCUCUUGAUAAUGAAAAGGAUUUCAGAACAAAGGAGAAAGAACUCCAAGCAAAGGAGGCUGAAUUGAGGAGGAGGGAGCAGGCUGUUGGACAAUAACAACUUAACUGGACAUCUUCCACCAGAGUUCUCCAACAUUCCAGAGUUGCGUAUACUCAACCUGUCAAAUAACCAACUUAAUGGAUCCAUUCCAGAAAGUUUGUCAAAUCUCCCUUCUCUGCAGAAACUGUCACUUGAGAAUAAUUUUUUGACUGGUCCUAUCCCUGCUAGUAUUUGGCAGAACAUGUCCUUCAGUGCUAAGGCUAGACUUUUACUUGAUCUUCGGAAUAAUUCACUUUCAAACAUUUUAGGAGUUCUGAAUCCUCCAGAAAAUGUUAUCCUUAGGUCAAAUGUGAAGGUGCCCCGUUCCAUGUUAUGAAAGUGACACUGUUCUGUUAUGUUGGCUUACCUGCUAGCUGUUGUGUAACCUUUUCCCUGUUGUACAACUUAAUUAUUAUUAUUUUUCUUCAAUAAAAGUAAUGUCUCAAAUGUUAUUAAUAAAUAUAUAUAUGCUGGUCUCUGUUCACAUCAAAGUUUUUAAAGGCAAAUGCGUGCUUCGAGGCGUUUUACCCCUCAUGAGGCGAGACGUAAGUCUCAGGGCAUUGAGGCGUAAGCAUUUCAAAUUUCAAAUUUUAAUAUUUAGUGAAUAAAUUAAAUAUUUUAAAAUAGUAAAAAAAUAAAAACAAAAUUAAAUAUAAAAGUGUAAAUACUUUUCGUUUUAAUGCGUUGAACAUUUUAUUGCAUAGAAAGAAGUUUUCCUUCACUGAAAGUGAAAUUGAUAUUCUUAACUUCAGUGAUUGAGUUUCUCACUUGACUAUUAACUGUGUUUUUUUCUUGAUUGAUUAUUUACUUAAUUUUUCCUGUAAAAUUUAGUUGCAAAAAUGGAUUCUUUUUAUUUUUUUUAUAUUUAAACAAUCCAAUAGACUAAGCUUAACAAAAGCCCAAGGCAACCUCUGCAUGUGCAUACUCCUCACAUGUUUAUACGCAAAAAGCGUACAAAGCGCACCUAAGGCGCAUGUCACAAACUAUUAUGCGCAAGCCUUUGGGGAGUAAUGCUUAAAAAUCAAAGCCUUGAUGCGUUUUAUUUUAGCUUCAAGGCGAGGCGAGCAUCGAGGCGAGCCUCAGGAAAGCCUUUUAAAACUCUGGUUCACAUACUCAUCUACCUAAUUUGUUGUCUUUUUCUUUCGACAUCUUCUUGUUUCAGCCUCUGUAUUCUGUGUAGUACUAUUUUCACUGCAGUACCUAAUUUCCAUAUGUCCGAAUAGAUGAGAUUUCUCCUUGAUGCACAUCUCUAGAAUGAUUUAUAGGGACUGCAAGUUCAUUAUAGAAAGAGAAAAUAUAAUCUAAACAUAUGAUUUACAUGACCUAGAUUGCAGUUGCCAUAAAUUAGUGUUUUCCUGCCCAUUCUACUCCAUAGUCUCUUAGGUACAUAUAAAUUUCUUACACCUGAUAUUUCCCUAUGCCAAGGUGUUAUUCCAGCAUAAAAUUGUAUUUCUAACAGUAUUCUUGAGGGCAGAAUAAUUAAAUAUAUAAUAUAUGAUGCUUUAAAACUUGAUUUCUAAAGUUUGCUCAUCUUUAGAAAUUAUAUUUGUAUUAGGAUUGCACUAAAUCCACAAUUUUAUGGAGGAAAUAUAUUUGCAUUAAUUAGAAAUAAGAUAGUUUCUUCGUUCAAGAUGUUACAUAACAAGUAUAGUUUUAGUGAAACCUUUGCUUCAUGGAGGUAGUAACCUUUGCUUCAUGGAGGUAGAAUUUUGAAACUUGUAAAUAAAAAUUCAUUUUGUAUUUAUUUUCGAUUUUAAAUUACUGCACAGUUUACAAAAUUUUUGUAACCCAAACAAAAAGUGAAAUAAUGCAUAAUGUGGGAAAAUCUCCUAGAACUCCAAUGUGUGAAGGUUUUGUUCUACAUCACUGCAGGGUAUAAAUCUUUCGAAGUAAUAAUGUAUCUUCAAUGGAUCCUCUUAGGCCUCAUUCCAGAACCAUCAUAUUUCCAAUAUAAACUUGCAAGAUUUGCAUGUUUAUUGUUGUUGAAAAUAUGUAAGAAUCGCAGAAAGGCAUUUGCUUGGUUGGGAUGAUGGGUUCAAUUUCCAUGGUACUGCCGGUGCCAGCAGUAGUGGACGAAGGGGAUGGGCGAGUGGGAGUAGUUGGCCCCUUCAAAUUGAAGGGUUUUAUGGAAGGACUUGAACAAUGGGAGCUUAUAGUGAUGCCAGGACGACAUCUUGUACUUAUUAGUACUUAUUUUUGGAUGGUUGGAACUAAAAUGUGUAGUGGGAGUAGUCGGUUAUUCCUGUAUUAUGUAUGAAAUUAAAUUAUUGACGUUGGAUUAGACUUGGUUCUUAUGGAAUUUGUAAUAUAUAUAUAUAUAUAUAUAAUUGGACGUUCAAUAUUAAUUUUUUGGAUGGUUGGAA